rnacentral:rRNA from 1 species
UACGUAGGGUGCAAGCGUUGUCCGGAAUUAUUGGGCGUAAAGAGCUCGUAGGCGGUCUGUCACGUCGGCUGUGAAAACCCCGAGGCUCAACCUCGGGCCUGCAGUCGAUACGGGCAAACUAGAGUACUGCAGGGGAGACUGGAAUUCCUGGUGUAGCGGUGAAAUGCGCAGAUAUCAGGAGGAACACCGAUGGCGAAGGCAGGUCUCUGGGCCGCAACUGACGCUGAGAAGCGAAAGCAUGGGGAGCGAACAGG